rnacentral:lncRNA from 1 species
GGGCUCGCCGCGCCCGUGAGAUUCCUCUUCUCGCGCUUUCCCCUAUUUCAUGGCCUUGUGGCCCCUCCGCACCAUCGCACCCCAUCGCCUCCUCCUCCUCCCCCUCUCUCGCUCCCCCUCAUUCUCCUCCUCCUCCGCCACUCGCUCCCGCCCCGCUGUCGCCUCCGUCGCCGACGCCAUGGCCCAGCGCAUUGGCAAGUCCGUGCGCCGCCCCGGCGCCGCCUCCAAGGCCCGCGUCUACGCCGACAUCAACGUCCACCGCCCCAAGGAGUAUUGGGACUACGAAACCCUCGCCGUCCAAUGGGGGUAAGCAUCCCGAUCUCUACGUUUCUGAAUCUAGAUUAGGGUUUCCUUUUGGGACAAUACUUAGUUCGUAAUUGGUGAGAGCGUUUGAUUCGCGACGAAGGGAGCAAGAUGAUUACGAGGUGAUUCGCAAGGUUGGGAGGGGAAAGUAUAGCGAGGUGUUCGAGGGAGUACACAGCACCAACAACGAGAAGUGCAUUAUUAAGAUCCUUAAGCCUGUAAAGAAGAAAAAGGUGCGCCUCCACCUCCUCUUCAUCCUACAAAUAGGCAUCGGCUAAUAAGUGAAAUGGACGAAGCUGCUUAGUGAGCUAGCUGUUUACAUUUUUUCCGCUUCAGUUGGAUACCUUCUUGUAGUUUCUUACCUGCAUUUGUGCUGGUUUUGAUGCGUUAGUUUGUAUAGAGGAAUGUUCUCUUGGUAGCUGAAUUUUUUUGGAUAAUCAGUGUUUGAGGUUACUGAGACAUGGUUGAUCAAUUGUUUUAAUUUAUUUAAUGAAAAAUGUAAGUAAAAUGCGCUAGGAGUUAUGAAUUUAAGGUUAUUAGAAAAUCUUGGAAUAUGUUGAUGAAAGAAUAGUUAGUUUGGAGUUACUAUGAAAAGAUGUGUGUGUGUGUGUGUGUGUGUGUGUGUGUGUAGAGAGAGAGAGAGAGAGAGUCUAGCUACUUUACUCUUAUGAGUACGAUUGACUUCACACUCAUAAGUCGUUUUCGAUGAUAGAGCUUUUGAAUCGACGAUUCAUACCGUUAAAUAUAAUUUAGAGCAUUUGAAACUUCUAAAAAUUAAAUUUUAUAAUUUUUCGACAUUAUUUACUUACAAUUAAAAGAUCUCAAAAUUGAAUUUUUAAUGGCCCGUAUAGGAGCUCACUAGUUUAACGGUGUUAAAGAAUCGGAAUCGGCUGAAUUUUUGAUAAAAAUUCUAUUAACUAUCUAGAUAGAGAUCUAUACCUCCGAUCUUAAAUUGAAAAUUCCGAUCCUCUAUUUAUAGGAAGCCAUUUAAUUUUUGACCGUUCAUUUUAUGCCCGUUUGAUGGACUUUAUUAUAAUUUUGAAAAAUUACGAAAUUUAUUUUCUACAAGUUUUAAAUGCUCCUGUUCAUUUUUAACUGUGUGGAUCGUUGAUUCGAAAGCUUCAUCAUUGAAAACAACUUAUGAGGACAAAGAUCUUUAUACUCAUAAGAGUAUAGUAACCCUACUCUCUCUCUCUCUAUGUAUAUAUAUAUAUAUAUAUAUAUAUAUAUAUAUAUAUAUAUAUANUUCCAGCUCAACUCUCCCUUCUCUCUCUCUCUCUAUAUAUAUAUAUAUAUAUAUAUAUAUAUAUAUAUAUAUAUAUAUAUAUACAUAGGUGGUUGGUUGAAUAGUAUAAUCUAACGGUUGAAAAUGAUCAAAGGCGUAGAUCUAACGGUAAAAAAUUUAUAAACAAAGUAUGCUCCUUCCGACUUACUACGCUUUGUUGAAUGAUUUAAUUGGUUCAUAUUUAAUGUGUUAAACUGGUUACUUGCUUUCUCUUAAAGCACAAAUUUGUUUGACCUGACUGAAGGCUCUCUUUGUCCUAUACAACUAAUUUUGUAUGCCUGUAAUCAUAUCAGUACUCAGUAGUGCUUUGGUGAUUGUAAUAUAGAGCUGUUAAGAUACAGUUCCUUCUCUAGAUAUAAACCUGUCCGGUUGAAUGCUUAAUUUAGCAAAACCUUGUAUGACAAUCUCGUAUGUUGCACUCAAUUUGCUGAACUUUCAUAUGGUAAACAGCAGCAAAUUUCUCUCCUGGCAUUUGCUGUCCAUUGCUUCGAGUACUUGUGGUGCUUUAUGUUCAUGCAUUUAUCAAUAUGCUUUUUCGUCUUUUUUUUUUCUAUUCUGACUGCUUCUGAAAUGCUUCUCCUUGUUUUGUAAUAAUACUUGGUGUCUACGCAGUGUUAUGCACUUGCUAUGUGGUGUCCACAUCUAAGAUUUUUCUUUGGUGGAUUGCUAUGUGAUGCAGAUUAAGAGGGAAAUUAAGAUACUGCAGAAUUUAUGUGGUGGGCCGAAUAUUGUGAAGCUACUUGAUAUUGUCAGAGACCCGCAGUCAAAGACACCCAGUCUGAUCUUUGAAUACAUCAAUAAUACCGAUUUCAAAGCACUUUAUCCUACUUUAUCAGACUAUGAUAUCCGCUAUUACAUUUAUGAAUUAUUAAAGGCAAGUCUAUCAUUUCAUUUCUACGAUGGGAUGAUGUAUCGUUCAAAAAAAUAAUUCAUUAAAUCAUCGUCGAUGUUAUUAUCAUUCCUGUUCACGUUAUUGUAAAUUUGAUGCUUCCUAGAUUUCUUUCUGUUUUGGUUGACUGGAUACAGUGAAUACUAAUUCUUUCUGUGGAGCUAUUAAUUUCUCAUACCUAUCAUUCAUCAGUCCUAUCAUCGUCACAGUUUUUGUCUUCGGAGGCAGUGAAAGACAAAAAGAUAUAAGUAAUUGACGAUAAAAGAUAUCCUGAGAAUGAAUCUUGUACAACACAGUUGAACAGAGGAAGAGGAUCCACAUAAUUAGACUUGUUGUGGUUGUAGUAGUUUUUUUUGUCCACUUGGGUUUGUUUGCCUUCCUGAAUUUUUAGUCUGUUUGACCAUACAUUCAUUUUCCCAUGCUAAUGACUAUGCCAUGAUGGAGGAGCUUACCUGGGCUUGAAGGCCUGCUUUUCUCCACUCGCUAUUUUACUGUGGUAUUGACUAUUUUAGUUUAUAAACCCUAAGCCACAAACCCAUAACAUGCUUUUUCAAUUCAACUUUAUUUGCACACCUUUUUACUUAUUCAGGAUCACUAUUGUUAAUUGUCUUCGUAUGCUGUUUAAUUCUCCAGUGAUCCACUAGUGUUUGUGGUACAGAUCUUCCUUCUCACCAGAUAGUUUUUCCUAUUCAACAAUAUUGUGCACCAUUAUGGACUUUUUGUGCCAUGCUGCUUUGUUUAAGGAUCUAAGAGAUCUUAUUUGUAAAUCACAACUGUUGUUUAAGAAAAUUUGUAAGCUCGAUGAAGAAGAUAUUUCUAAAUUUGCUCUUGAUUCUUUAUGCUUUGCUAAUUGUGCAUAACCUUUUUUCCUUUCAUUUUUUUUUGUGGGAACAUUAGAUUCCAUCAAAUUUGAUUGUCUUUAACUUUCUCAGGCAUUUGUGUAGGCACUAGAUUACUGUCACUCACAAGGAAUCAUGCAUCGAGAUGUGAAGCCUCAUAACGUUAUGAUUGAUCAUGAGCAGCGCAAACUUCGCCUCAUUGACUGGGGUCUUGCAGAAUUCUACCAUCCUGGAAAAGAAUAUAAUGUUCGAGUUGCUUCGAGGUUAGCAUCUUGCCUACAGAUUGAUCAACUCUGUAAGAGGAGCUCAGUAGUACGUGUUUUUAUUGUUCUUAUGAGGACUUAUCUGAUUCUUUUCAGUGGAUCCUAUAACAAGCUUGUCGAACAUCAUUUUCAUGUAUCUAAUUGGAUUCUUAUUAUCUUGGCUGCUGAGCUUAUUUUCUUUACAUGUACAUUUAAUGACUUAUCUAACAUGAUUAGUAACAACAGUUGCUUCUUUUCUAUUAGAGGCCUGCUCAUGGAGGUUUUACAUUAGCCAUUUCUUAUUAUACAAUUUUUUUUCACUUAGAUGUCAUGAUGCUUUUAAUUUUUUAAAAGUUUGAUUACAUGAUUUUUUUUUUUUUUAAUUUCUUGGCUGGUUGUUACAUUCGAAAUUUCUCAAGUUCACUGCAAUCAAUAAAUUUAGAUUACAAAAUGUGUUUUACUAGAACAAGAGAAAUCAGAUAAUGGAGCAGUUGCACUUGGAUGAUAACUGAAUCACCUUUUUGCUCCAAAUGAUGGCGCGGUGCAGCUCAUCUUGUUUUGCAUUGUUAUUUGUAAUUGCUCUUAAGCUUGUUAUGCAUCAUUAGUCCACAUUCUUAUUCCACCUGUUUUAAGUUUUCUUUUUUUUUUCCUUAUUGAUAUUAUCAAUAUUAUCAAUUAAAUUGCUCUUUGCUCUAUGUUGCUAGAUACUUCAAGGGCCCAGAACUUCUUGUGGAUUUGCAAGAUUAUGAUUACUCAUUGGAUAUGUGGAGCCUUGGUUGUAUGUUUGCUGGGAUGGUAAGUGUUGAGGGUGCUUAAAGCCGCUCAGCAAUAUUUUCUUUCCUUGAGCACUAGUUAUCAGAAUAUUAGCACCUUUCUUCUGUAACAGAUAUUCCGAAAGGAGCCCUUCUUUUAUGGCCAUGACAAUUAUGACCAGUUGGUGAAAAUAGCUAAGGUAUAUGUUUAUUUUUUUCUUUCCAUAUGGUAAUUAAGAUUGGUCGUAUGUCCAUGCUGUUCUUAUUAUUUCCUUUUCUGAAUUAGCAUGCAUUAUUCUCAUUUUCCUUACUAUUGACCUGUUAAUGGGACUAAUGUAUAAGCCAAAGUAGUUCCCAUGUGUGCCACACUUGCAUUUAUGCUGGACUUUCCGAUUAUCCAGAGUAAUGAAAGCUGACAGGAUGGAUCAUAUGAAACACUUAUUAGUUUGGUUAGUUGAAUUCUUAAGUUUUUGAACGCGUAAGUAUGAGGACCGAGGAUCCAAGUGAAACUUAUGAAUAGUGCAAGGAAAUACAGUGCAACUUACCCUUGGUUGCAGUAUAUCUGCUUAUUUGUAGGUUAUUUCAUAAAGCUAAUGCAACUGAAUAAGUUUUGAUCUUUGCAUCGAAAAUUAAACACUUGAUUCACAAUUCUAGUAGUGAAGUGAUGACUGUGCAAUGAAACCUUUGGUUGAUUUGUUUUUUGGCUGAUAAAUGUAGUCAACCGCCGGCCCAAUGAUUGAAUGUGUAUUAUUAUACCGGUCCUCAUAAAAAUAUUUUCAAGCAAAGAACUAGUCAACAGAGUCUCAUGCUUUUCCUUUUAUGAAAAACUUGAAUAUCAUUCAUUACCUUCUCUCUCGAAUGUUUAGUUGCUCUUCCCAUGUUAUUGCUUUUCAUGAACUAAAUUACUUAAUAUUCAGAUUUCAUUAAAUAGUUCUUUAUUCAUAUUUUUCCACAAUAGUUAUCCAUAAUUCUCUUAGCUUUUCGAGCUUAACUAAGUCUAAUGUUCUGCUAUAGGUUCUUGGGACAGAGGACUUGAAUGCUUAUCUAGCUAAAUACCGCUUAGAGCUAGACCCACAACUCGAGGCGAUGGUUGGGAGGUACCAAUUCACUCUUUCUGAUUCAUCAUCCUAUUGUUGUUUUUCUUUUGGUAGUAAAUCUGUUUUAAAUUCAGUGAUAUCUUUGUUUCUCGUAGGCAUAGCAGGAAGCCAUGGGCCAAGUUCGUUAAUGCUGAUAAUCAGAAUCUUGCACUUCCUGAGGUGACUUUAUCAUGUGGACUUUUCAAUUAAUUCUAUGCUUGUUAAAUUUUAUCAUAGUUGUAUAACAUGUGUCGAUCUUGUACAGGCGAUUGACUUUGUGGAUAGGCUUCUCCGGUAUGACCACCAGGAGAGGCCAACUGCAAAAGAAGCUAUGGUAAUGACUAUUUUUUACCUGACAAUGUCUAUUCUCAAUCUAGCUACUGAAAAAUCUGUUGUUAAUAGUUAACUGCCAACAGAAAACUACGAAUAACUAUAGAGCUGUAAAAAUUUAACAUAUUCACCUCAUUCAACUAACCAAAAUCAAAGAAAUCAACGGUUGAGGGGGUAUCAAUUGUGAAAGUAAAGUUUGGGGUCUAUUUGGCCUAUGGCUAGGGGGUGUAAUGUGGGCCGUCCCGCAUUUUUUGUGCCGAUUCGGGCUAGGGGAUGGCCCGACCCCGCCCGGUUCCAAAUCCAGGCCGGGCCAUGCUGGGCUGGAGCUAUCAAGUCUCUGGCCCAACAUGGCCAUUCGGCCCGAAGGGCUUGGGCUGUGCUCUAGGCCGGCCCUUAAAAGAUUUUAUUUUUUAUUUUUUAAAAAUAUAUAAAAUUUAAAAUAUAAACAAAUAAUUAUUUCUAUUUUAAAAUUUUAAAAUUUAUAAAAAUAAUUAUAAUAUAACAAAUAUGUAAAAUUUUUAAAAUAUAUAUAUAAUUUUUUUUGAAAAAAAAAGAAUUGAGAGUGUUUUUGGUCCAACGCCAAAAUUGUUUGUUCCAUUGGACCAAAAACCUCCUCCCAAGGUUUGCUUGAGAUCUCCUGGGGCACUUCUCCCCAGGAGCUCCAACCCCAAGGCCCAAGGUUGCCUUGGGCCUUGGGGUUCGGGCCGUGCUGGCCCGGAUGGCACGGCCUAAGCGGGUCGUGCCCGUGCGGGCCACGGGUCUCUCCUCAGCUCGGCAUGGUCCAGGUCCGUUUCGGGACGGACCGUCAGCACGGUCCUCAAGCUCAGGCCGGCAGGGGUGCGACAGCACCGAUGCCGUGCUCCGGCCCGGCACGGCCUCGGGCCGGGCGGCUUGUUUUACAUCCCUACCCAUGGCUGAUAAGGUGCCAAUACGUUUUAGUUUACUAUAAUGCUGCUGCUGCUUGUUUACAGGCCCAUCCUUACUUUAAUUCUGUGAGAAAUGUUGAGAGCAGCAGGGGGCACGCGCACUAGCUUGAAUUUUGUGGGUGAGGUUUUUUCCCCCUUACUACUUUUCCUUUAUCUUCUUUUAUUGCUCCCGAUGCAUCAUCUAAUAUCAAGAGAAGGUAUGUUGUUAACUGUUGUCAGAUUUUACUUAAGUAAUAUUGUAAGUGUUUAUGUUCUCUAAUUUAGCUGUCAUCGAUCCAAAAUAAGGCUGAUUUCUAGCAUUGGUUGUAAUUCUUUUUAAAUUUGAAAAUGUUUUGUUCUUUCUAUGGGUGGACAAUCACAGUAACCUCAUAAAUGUGUUUCAAUUUUGUGAUAUGUCAUUUUCACCAAUUAUUCGUGCCUUUUAGAUUACGUUCAUGUAGAUCAAUGGAGUAACAUCGAGAUCCUGACUCACAUGUCACGUAGAAUUUAACAAUGACACCAUCUUUUGUUUUUUUCAUGUAAAAUCUAUUGUCAGUAUUUAUAUGAUAAGGAGUUCUUUGAUGUAAACUUAUUUCGGGAAACAAUCAUUGGAACCAAGCAGAUGGUACUGGGAUUUUAGCAAGGCAUAGUGUACAAUUGUUUGAUUUUUGUUAGAAUAGAUAUGCAGAGGUUAGAACAGAAGGUGCCUUUCAUUGCCCAUUCUUCAUCACGCUCAAGCUUUUGUACUCAAUCAACAGAGUACAAAAAUUCAAUGGGACACUAGUCAAAGUAUUAACACUUGAAAGCGACACUUGAAAGCGACACGAUUCUUAUAACGAGCGUAUAUUAUAGAUCGGUUAACGAGUUAACAUAUGUUUAUAGGAUAUAUUAUAGAUUGGUUAACGAGUUAACAUAUGUUUAUAGGAGAAACUAACUCACAUAGCUGAUACGCAUCCUGUGUAUGAGAUCUAAGGUUGAACAUUUAUUGUUAAGAGAGCUCCAGCUGAAUAUCGUUGUACAGUUGUCUCAUCUUAUUAUUGGAACUAUGAUGCACAAGUAGCAACAACCAUAACCGAAAAUUUAGCCUUCCAUAGUAUUAAUGUAGCAAAAAUAUGGCCGUUUAUUCCUGGCAUUAUCAGUUGGCGCCUUCUGGUACCAUCAAGGCGCAGGGAUCUAGGGUUUGAGGAAAUUAAUACCUACACCUGAUGCACCCUGGGAGCACCUUUAGGUGCACACUCUGGUGUGCAAAAAAUGUUUGCGAAUGGGAGGAUCUCGCCUAUCAUCCGUAGAGGAAUGCAUUUGAGUAGAGGUGGCAAGGAGCCGAACACGAGCUGAGUUGGGCUUUCGCCGUUCUAUUCUAGUUGAAACAGAACAACUACUAGACUCAAAUUUAUAUUAUGGAUAGCUUAAGCUAAAAAGGACUUCAUUAAGAUUCUCUAAUUUCAGUUUUUUAAUGUGUGAACACUAGGGGUGUCAACCAGCCGAACACGAACGAGCUGGGAUCGGUUCGUGUCGAACAUGAGCUAGUUCGUUAAAAUAUUGAGCCGAAAACUUCAACUUGUGCUCGGCUUGUUUAUUAACGAGCCGAACAGAAGUUGGCUCAUGAACAACAAGUUGUUCGAACGAUUAGAAUAAAUAUACAUAAAAAAUAAAUUUAUGAGAUCUUAUCUUUAGACUUUGAUCUAAUGGGUAACUUUUUUUCAUAUCAAUCGGGUUUUUUAUAAUUGAGUUGGAUUUUUUUAUUUAGAUUGGGUUAAAAAUUAAAUAAUNGAGCGAGCUGAUCAUAUCUCGUACGUUCGAUUUAUUUAUUAAAUGAGUUAAAAAAUUCAAUUCGUGUUUGGCUUAUUUAUUAAACGAGCAAUUAGAUUUUGAGCUCAUUUUAAGUCGAACAUGAGCUGGACGGUGAACAACGAGCUGAAUUGCCACCCCUGCAGUAGAAUCGUUUUUCCAUGCGCAGGCAGGAUUAUGGGCAAACGCCUCGUAUAUCAGAAUGUAGCUCUCUUCGUCGAUUCUUUUAUAUCACCUUAGUCUUGUAUAUGUUUUAAAACCAUUUAAUUCUAUGGGAGUUGUGGUAUUUUUUUUUUCUUUUUUCUUUUUUUGUUUAGAUGGUAGCUAGGUUAGUUUAGGUAGUGUUUGAUUUGAGAAUUUUUAUACUCUAAAAUUUUUUUUUUUUUGAGAGACGGGUAGAAUGCUAUCCGCUUCAUUUAUUUUAUUUUAAAAAUAAACUUAGCUGAAAAUAUUAAUCAACUAGUAUUUGAACUUAAAAUCUUAGAUACCAAUCAUUACGUUUUUUGUCACUUGCGCUAGGGACGGUCGGCUUUAUAUCCUAAAAAUUAUUUCUAGAAAUGGGCGGGCUCAGGAUAGUACCUAAGGAAAGGACUUUACGGAGGAAAUGGUUAAAGAUAUAAUGAACACACCUUGGCAAUAAUUUUGUGAGAGAUAGGUAGCAUGUUACCUGCUUCGUUUAUUUCAUUUAAAAAUAAACUUAGUUGGAAAUGUGAAUCAACUAUGAUUCAAACUUGGAUCUCGGAUAUCAAUCACUACGCCUUUUGCCAUUUGCUCUAGGGACGGUCCGUACAUGUUGGCCAGGAAUUGAGGGACGAUGAUGAUGAGAGGCGGUGCGCGGAGGAUAAAGAUGCACCGGGUGCAGGGAAUAAUAGUAUUUCGUGCGGAUUAUCGCGGGAGAGGCACCCAAGUGUCCGGUGACCGUACGAUGGGGUCACUGCUCCUCCAGAAACAAUGAUAGAGAUGUUUAUGAUUGCCCAACACUACCCCGUCCCACUCCCUCCUCUACUCUCUCUCUCACCCGAGACAAAUUAGCAUCUCCCUAAACUCAACACCAUACCCACGUACACCCCAGGGCCCCACCAACAGAAGAGAUAGAAAGGGAACGGGAAUGCAUGGCCAUGUUCCAUGCCUCGCACCUCCAUGGUCAUGAUGGCCACAUGACCAUGACAUGCCACGCUUAUUCCGUGGAAACAGAUGCGUUGUUUUAUGCAAAAAAAAAAAAUAAUAAUAUCGAAUUAAAUCUCUUUCUUUUUUCGAUAAAAAUAAAAGUGAUUCGGUACAAAUUUUAUGUAAAAAAAUAUAUAUUGGUUAAAUAAAUGAGAAAAUUUUUUGUACUUAUCUUUGCACUAUAGGGAAUUUUUGGUUUCUGAUCUUAUCUUUAAAAUUGUUGUGCACCCUCGUCAUUUUGUACACGUCUUAGCUAGGGAGCCCUGUGGAGACGAAUAGGAAGUAGGAUAGGGUCUUUUUGGUACCAUUUCCAGUACUGUUGGAUGUUUUUGCCCUUAAAAAGAUGGUCUCCUUCAGAAAUGUGCUGAUCUUUUCACUGUUCUUACUUUCUUUUUUUUUUCUUUCUCAAUCCCGAUCUUAGAAAGGUGUGAGCCAUAUAAAUGUGUGAAAACUAGCUAGUGUUGCCAAAGCAACUUUUAGCUGCUUAAUUAUCUUCAUCAAAUACCGACCGUCCCUAGAGUAAGUGACAAAGAGCUUAGUGGUUGGUACCCGAGGUCCCAAGUUCGAAUUCUAGUUGAUUCACAUUUUCAGAUAAGCUUAUUUUUAAAUGAAAUAAACGAAACGAAUAACGUGCUAUCUAUCUCUAAAAAAAAAAAAAAAUCACUCCUCCUUAAGAGGUUUUCAAGAUGGCAGAGACUUGAACCUCUGCUUGUACAUUAUCUGAAAAGAAUUCAUGGCGUGUUUUAUAUUAAAAGAAAAGAAUAAACAUCAACGUGGCGUGUAAGAAUGGAUGAUUCUUUAUUUAAAUCUCUUCUAUAUAUUAUAUAUAUAUUAUAGGGGCCGACAAAGUGGUCGUACUAGCCGAACUUCUACUUGGCUAUGGGCUUUCUGAAGAAGCGGAUAAAAAAAGCGCAAUUCAAAGUUGAUAGCAAUCGUAGUCAAAGUUAUGUUUGUGCGAAAGACUAUUUUUCUGAUGGAAAAGCCGAGUAUUAUUCUAACGGGCUUCUUUUUUUUCUUUUUUUUUUUUUUCCUUUUUUGGUGUCAUUUAGCCCCUCAAUUUUUUUUUAAAAAAUAAAUGACUUUAAUAAAUUUAUAUUUACAUAAAUAGCAUUCUUCUUGCCACGCGAAUGUCUAGACGGUGUUUUUAAGUUGAACACGGUAAUUCAAUUACUGUGUUUAAACAUAAUAAUUGAAUCAUCGUGUUCCCUUUUUGUAUUCUUUUUCGUCCCUAAGUUAAAAAGGAGGGACUAAAGUGUGGAUAUGAAUAUGACGAUUCAUUCAUCGUAUUCAAUUUAAAAAUAUAAACGUGACGGUACGUUGCAUGAUAAGAAAAGAAUCAUAUAUGCAAAUAUAAAUUUACUAGGACUAUUUGUAAUUUUUUUUUGGAGGGGGCUAAUUUUUUUUUAAAAAAACCCUAUUCUAACUUAAAACCAAGCAACAAUAUAUUUACUUUUAUCCUUUCUCUAAAGCAUAUUGAUUCGUAAUUGUGAUUAUUAUUUAGCUUGAUGUCGUUUCAGUAAUGUCUUUCCAUUGUAUCUUUUUUUUGUUUCAAUUCCUUUUCAUUCAUUUGUUUGCUUUUAUAUGUAGAAUUUGAGCUGUAUGGUUUUAGGUUUAUAAAUUGCUUUCCAUUAUAUCUUUUUUUUUCUUUCCUUUUCAUUCAUUUGUUUGCUUUUAUAUGUAGAAUUUGAGCCGUAUAUAUGGUUUUUAUAUAGUUUAUAAAUUGCGAUGUUCUAUAAGUUUGCUGGUGUUCCGUAGCUUUCGAUGCAAUAAUGAUUGCAUAAACUUCGGAACAAUAUGUUGUGUGGGUGCAGUAAAAGAUGCCAAGUUCAUAGCUUGGUUUAAAAUUUUCAAAAUUAUAAUAAAGUAUUUAGGAUGACGUGCUGCACCUAAGAUUCGAUUUCUUAUGUUUUGAGGAAAAAAAAAAAACAAUUUGGAUGUUGUAUGUAUUAUACAGUUAUAGUCAUCCUUAGUACUUUUCAGCAAUUAACUAUUGGGUGCUGAAUAAAAUGUUCGUGAAUCCAAACAGGUCUUUAUUUAGCGCAUCUUUAAAAAGAUGACUGCUAAUGUGUAGAUACUAUCGGUAAUAAUAUUAUAUCUUAGUUUAGGUACAUAAGAUAUCUUUAUAAAGUUUAAGAUUCUGUGUUUGAAUUCGGACCUGAGGUUUAUGUGGUUAACAUAACAUCGAUAGGAGAUUACCGACCGUCCCUAGAGCAAGUGGCAAAGGGCUUGUUGGUUGGUACCCGAGAUCCAAGUUUGAAUCCUAGUUGAUUCACAUUUCUAGCUAAGUUUAUUUCUAAAUGAAUUAAACGAAGCGGGUAGCGUGCUACCUAUCUCUCUCUCACAAAAAAAAAAAAAAAAAAAAAAAAAAAAAAAAAAAACAUCAAUAGGAGAUUUGCGUAGAUCAUGGACAGGUAGGGCCAUGCAAAACUAGUGAGAACAAGGACAAGACAUAAUACCAACAAAAGACUAGGACAAGAGAAUUUAAUGUGUGGGGGAUGGAUAUCUAGAGUAUCCUUGAUUAACGCGGAUUUAGACAUAACGAGAAAAAUGCAUGGACAAACCCUGUACUAUCCUCAUAGUAUAGUUUAUUCACUAAUCAUCAAAAAGAAGUUAAAUCUCGACAUUCGUUAACUUUCGCCACAAAUAAACUCCCGUUUUUUGGUCUAAAAUUAAACUAAAAUAAGUGAAUCAUUUUAUGGGAGAAGAGGCGAAAACACUUGGUUCUUUGUAAUAUAUGAGAUAGUCUAAAAAUUAAAAUGUUUUAGUGAUGAUUACAUGGGCCAAGUUGCUUUACUGGAAUAGUACAGAGACUAUUUGUACUUUUGACUGUAGCAUAAAUAAUUGAUCCAUAGGUUUGGAUUCGGUCCAUCUCCCCUCAGGAUCGAGCCUAAUUUGGUCCGAGUCCUUUUGUUGGGUUCGCACCUGAAACAGUAUAGAAAGAGGAUAUACCAACCCAAAUAAUAUGUAUAUAUAGAAUUGUGCUCCUAUGCUUUUAAAAGUACCAAGUUGUUGAUGCUUGUAGAUUUUUGACCAUUGGAUUAAGGGAUGUGCGGUUAUGAUGAUGUGGGUCCCUUAAGGUUGAGUAGGUAGUGGGUUGAAUAGUAUAAUCUAACGGUUGAAAAUGAUCAAAGGCAUAGAUCUAACGGUGGAAAACUCGAUAGCACUAAAUCCUUGGUGCUAUCGAUAGUAUCCCCACCAAACUCUAUAUAUAUAUAUAUAUAUAUAUAGGAGAGAGAGAGAGAAAAGAGAGAAGAGAGAGAGGAGAGAGAGAGGAGGAGGGGGGGGGGGAAUGUUUCCAUAAAAUCAAGGUGUUUGCUUCUUAGCAUUUUGAGUAGGGGGGGAAUAGUUUUCCAAUAAAUCAAGGUGUUUGCUUCUUAGUCAUUUUGGGCAAAAUGACACCUGGAUGACAAUCAACGCGCUGUUAAAUGUGAUAUAAACUAUUUGAACUUCAUAAAACACAACUAUGUAAAGUUUUAAUAUCAUUUGCGUAGUGAUCAAAUGAUCUUUAAGUUCAUCUUAUACUAGUUAUUAAAAUUAGUUCAAUUUUGAAACUAUUUGAAUAGUAAGCAAAUGAUGUCUAAAAAUCGUAGAAUUCAGGUUCUAAAAAGUUGAGAUAAUUUAGAGAUCAAGUUUAAUAUUGUCGAUUAUCAUCGAUUCUAAUAUUUUAUUAGUAAAACUAAUAUGAAAGUAAGUAUCUCGAUCGGUUUACUUUUAGAAGUAUUUUAGUUUUACUAUAGAAGGCCAAAUUAAACUGCAUUGUGUCCUCCCAUUCUUUGGUUGGUGGUUGGUCAAAUUCAAACUUAGAAUUAAACCAAAUUUCCUCUUUUGUCCCCUUCCCAUUGAUGAGAUGUUCAUGUGUGAACCAUAAUCUCAUCUGAAGAACAACAAUAUUUCACUUCCACUUUGAUGGCAAUUUAAUUCCUAGAAUUCAUCUGUCAUACCAAUUUUAAGGCUUAUGUGUUAUUAUUAUUAUUUUAUUUUGAUCGCUGAACUUUUAAAUUGUUUUAAUCUUUAGCCGCGACAUUAAACUCGCGCCACAUGUUAGAUCACUGUUUUAAACCUAGUAAUUAUUGAUUUGCAAUAUUGCUUCCCUAAAAUGAGUGUAUAAAUUUUUCUAUCGCAACAAAUCAAAUUUUAGGAGCAAAGCAAAACUGAAUCAAUAAUUUUUGGGACAAAAUUUAUCCGAAAUUUGGUAUGUUGUCUUAUUCAAAGGGCACCACUCACUAUGAAUGAAGCUCAAAUUAAGUCUCAGAGAUUUAUUAUAUAAACAAAUUUAGAUGACAUUCAUGCCAACUGGCCAUAUGACAAUUAUAGCAAACAAAUUUUGGGGUAAAUAAUUAAUAACUAGUGUCUAGUGUAGUAAUUCGUGUAAUGCAACAGAUAGAUAAUUAGAAAAAAAAUAAAAAACGGUGACAAAGGAAGAGUAAAUAGUGAUGAAAGAAACGACAAUAAGGGGUGUGAUUCAUUUUGCCGAUGAAGAAAGAUAACAACCGAAGAAAGUAAAAGAGGAGCAGUUCGGCCCAAUUCAGAUAUGUGAUCUGUUUUGAUUUAAGCAAACAAAAAGAAAAACUCAAUUUGGUUUAAGUAAAGAAAGAGAAAAACAUGUCAAGAACGUGAGCUGGUUUGAAAUAACCUACACUUAGCAAUUAUUGAUUCGAUUCAAUUCAAGCAAAAAAUAGAAAAAAAAUAUAGAGAACUUGAGCCGACUCAUAAUGGAGCCCACACUCAAUAGUGAAAGAAACAUUGCCGAAUCGCAAAUUUAGAAAGAAUAAUAUAAAGAAAUAGAUACGCCGGAAUUCAAAUAGUGGGGAUUUAUUAAAUUAAAUUCCUCUCAUAUGUAAUGAAGGAAGUGAAAAAGUCCUAACGUUGUCACAUGGUUUGAAGGGGAGACCACUGAACGACGUACACAUGGGACCCUAAAAUGGGCUUAGGAGUCUUCACUUUGCUGGGUUAUAAUAUCGUACUUUGUUACCACCGUGAUGUUGACCAUAUGAUUGAGUCCGCAACUAUCUCUCUUUUUGAGUUUUAUGAUUAAAAUAGAAAAAAAAAAAAAAAAAAAAANUGUGUGAGAGAGAGAGAGAGAGAGAGAGAGAGAGAGAGAGAGAGAUCUAGAGAGAGAGAGAGGGAGAAGUUGUUGGAGGUUCAUUGGUGGAGAAGUGUCAUUAUCUCUAAUGCAAGUAAACCCUAGUCCACUUAUUGUGAGUGUAAAUUGCAAUGUGAAAUUAAAGGGGAAUAAAAAAGAAGGGAACAAAAAAACAAAAGAAAGGAUGACAACAUUAGCAGAACUGAUGUUGUUACUAACAGAAAAAUUUAUUGUCUAUGACCUGUGCAUAGUAAAUGAACCAUGUCAUUUUAAUUAUAUAAUCACCUCAAAAGAAAAAUAUCCUAAAUAUCACUAUACAAGGUAUACAUACUUUUUCCCUUCGUCGUGCUAAUUUAAGCAUUUUAGGAAAGUAAUUAACUUGAGCGUUUAAAAAAGUGCGGUGACGCAUCGCCAACAAGUGAGCAACAAGUGGAUAUUUGAUUGUCUUAUAAUGUUCCCCAUACAAUAAAACCAUAGGAAAGAGAUCCUUAGAUUCACAUGGUACAACUUAGCUUGCUGAGAAAAUGGAACACACAUGCACAAUAAUAUAUGCAAAUGCCCCCCCUCAACUAAAAGAGGUAAAAGAAUCCAUAAUUAAAUUGCGAGUCAAUUUUAGGGUCUCGAUAACAAAAAACAUCCACUAAAUAAAAGCCAACAUAUGUAUAUAUAUUAGGUCCAAAUCAUGUCAACUUUUUUUCCUUUUUUGGUCUUAGCUAUCAAAUGUUGUCGAAAAAGAGCUAAUUAGUGAGAAAGAGAAGAGAGAGAGAGAUAACCCUAACCUAUAACUAAUCGCCACUUAGUCUCGAGCCACUCAAAAGCCUCUAUUCUACGAGCCUAUUGGGUCAACUUCACCCUUUACUACCUGUUUCUUUUAUACAUUUCAAGUGCUAACUAACCUAACUAUCCCCUAACCCAAGAUUAGACACUAAUCCCCAAUUGUCGCAAAGUUGUUGGCCUACUUAAUUGUCGAGCUAAUGUGGUUUCUCCCCUAAUUGAGCUUUAAUUACUAGAAUAAUAACAUGUUUAGUUUGAGUCGUCGAGGAGGAGCUAACUAGCUAUAUUGUCAUGUGGGCGCGUGGCCGUGUUGCCAUAUGUUUUUGCUCUUGUGUUUUGUGCCGAUCCUAGGGCAUCGUGAGCCCGACCAAAACAUCGAAGGAGGGGAACAGAAUUCUACGAUUCGAAUCCGAUCGAGGCAACGGUUGUCUUGUCACUCAUUACCCAGCCAUGAGAUAUCUCGGUGACACAUGGUAGCAAAGCAUAGUUAACUAGACUAGGUUUUGUUUAUUUCCUAUUGUUUUGCGCCUCAUUGAUUGAAUGAACCAUAGAGUACACAAUUUUUAUUCUUUAGCUUAAGACUAAUACCUUAGGUACAAUGGUCCCCAACUGCGGUACCAUAAUCCAAUGUAACUAGAUUCUCUCUUUCUCUCUCUCUCACACACACACAUACAAAAUAUUUUGAGAAACCAAUAGAAACUCGACAAAUUGAGCACGAUACAGUUUAUUGCUUGAUCACUAAGGGAGAUUUCGUGUGUGGUCUUCUAGUUAGAGAACAUAAUCCGGCAAUUCGGACAAUUCCUCCUAUAUUUCGCAAAAUCACGUGAUGCAUGCAAUAAACCGUCAUCAUAAUCGCAAGUACUGAAUAAUUUCAGAUCUUCUUCAUUUUUAUCGUGCUCAGGUUCUUACUUACGAGCUAACACGACAACUAUGUAAGAGAUUGUGCUCCGAAACCAAAUGGAUCGAGGACGAAACUUAAGAUUCUAUUGUCUCUCUAAGCAACCACCGAUCGAGCCACGUGGUUAAUUAAGCGAUUAUAUAGGAUUGGCCUCCACAAAGUUAAGUAUCAUGUCACCAUCCUGCAGAGAAGUGCUUGAUUAAACAAUCUACUUUUGGUGCAAUGAGAGGUGUCAACAAUAGAAUUAAUUGCAGUUCAUAGUCGAUCCCAUGCACGUUACUUUAUAAUUAAAUUGAUGUGCAUGGAGCUGUACAUAAUCUUUAACAAAUUAAUUAUAUAACAACCAACCCUUCUCAAGGAGUAGCUUAUUGGACUGGUUCAAAGCAUUUCAUUUCAACAGCUUCAAUUACAGCGAAAUUUGAUCAAAAAUAGUAAUGUUGACUUGAGUUGGUCAAACACACCGACCCCGGUGGGCCAGGCCAAUUCGAGGUUUUGUGGGCCCAUUUGGGCCUUUCUACACGAGCCCAACUCAUUAAUGGGCCGGUGCGUUGACAGUAAUUAAUUCAUUAUUAUUAUUCAUUAUAUAAGCAUGAUUUUUAUGCGAAUUAGUAGGAGAGAGAGAGAGAGAGAGAGAGAGAGUCCCAAUCAUUGCCCCUCGUCUGAAACCGAUCUCCGCCCAAUACGUAUUUUUCGCUAUAACCGUUCGAAAGCGAACGUGGGGCCCACCCCCNUCUCUCUCUCUAGCGCUCGCUAUCUAUCACCGUUAAUAACCAUCACGCACUCCGCGGAUACACAGAUAAGCCUUACGGUGCACCCGCGUCCAUCGUCGCCGUCGUCGCAGCCCACGUCGGCGAUUCUACGGUCGCGAUCGUUAAUGAUAACGAUUUCGCGGGGAUCGCCAUAAUUAGGAAUCGCUGUCGACGGUGGUGAUGAUAAUGAUCCGCCGUUAGCAACGCCGCCUCGCCUUCCACGUGUCGCCCGCUCAAUGGCCUUCUCUCUCGAAUCGGUGACUCUCCACGUGCCACGCCAACCCCAAUUCGCUCGCGUCAGUUCACUUCUCCGCCCCCACCCUUUCAAAUGCAAUAUAUAAUAUAAUAUAAUAUAUAUAUAUAUAUAUAUAUAUAAAAAGAUAAAUGAUCAUCUUAUGACACUAAUGAUGAGAAAUUUAUUACCUGCCACACCUGGUGUAUAGUUAUACUCGGUGGGCACUCCACAUAUUAUUAUCCCAUAUAAUUUUCAAUAUUUUAAGAUCCUCUGCAUAGAAAUUAUUAUUAUGUGAUUUGAAAAUCUAUCCUCGGCGAUCAACUAUACAACAGAAAGAACCAUCCUUUAUGGGUAAAAGUUAGUCUCAAAAUUUAUGAUUUUUAAAAUCUUUACAUGUACGGGAUGCAAUGAAUGAGAGAUCGGGGAAUGAUGAUGUGAGAUUUGAUGAGUUGUGAUGAUGAUUUCGAGUCAACCGCGGCGCACGUUACGCAUGUACCACGCGGCCACAGCCGCCAUUUUCUUUUGGGCCCAGCCCACAUAUUCUCUCUCUCUCUCUCUCUCUAGUCUCUCAUACGGCCCACUAAGGGCCACUCACUAUAGCCCACUUCACACCAACAUCUCUCUCUCUCUAUCUUUCUCUAUGUAGAGAGAGAUAACAUAUAUAUAUAUAUAUAUAUAUAGAGAGAGAGAGAGAGAGAGAGAGAGAGAGAGAGAGAGAGGAGAGGUCCGAGAGGAGGAGGUGAGAGGAUUCUAGAGAGAAAAAAAGUAAGGAUAGGAGGGAGAAAGGUGGGGGUCCCAGGAACUCAUCUGAACCCCACUUAAUAGACCCUCUUCUUCUCCUUGACCACCACCACCAGCACCACCCACCACCAGGUAAUUAAAAUCGCGUAUAAAUACCCCCCACCCCUCUCUCCUCCUCCUCCCCAUUAAUAUCCCUCUCCCAAUCGAUCAUAGCACUACAUAACACCAACUUAGUAGUUACUUCGCUCCAUCAACAUAUAUAGCCCCAACACAAAAAAGACCAUAUUGGACCGUAACCCAAAAGAGAGAGAGAGAGAGAGAGACAGAGAGAGAGAGAGAGAGAGAGGGAGAGGGAGAGGGAGAGAGAGAGAUACACAUAGAUAGAGCGAAAGUUAGCUCCUUUACCUUACCUGCGGUACCGAAGCAAACCCAGCUCUCCUUUUCACCUCCCUCCUAGCUCGUAUUGCUAUUGUUAUAUAUAUUAUUAUUACUACUCGUUCUUACUUCGUAUAAUAUUAUAUAUAUAACAAUAACCCGUACCAAAAAGAGAAAAAGGAAACAGAACAAAAACAAAACGAUAGAGAGAUUGAUGGAGGAGGAGGAGAUGAUGAUGAAGAAGAUGAGGGUAGUGGCGGCGAUACGAGAGUACGAGGAGGGGAGGGAUAGAGAGCGCGUGUUGGAGGUGGACAGAGAGUGCGAGGUGGGUCCCACCGGUGGCAGCCACAUGUCCCUCUUCN